UACGGACAUAUCACGUUGAACACCAGUUCUCGUACGAUCACCAAAGUUAAGCAACAUCGAGCCUGAUCAGUACGUAGAUGGUUGACCGCCUGGGAAUAUCAGGUGCUGUAAG
rnacentral:rRNA from 1 species